rnacentral:rRNA from 1 species
AUUGAACGCUGGCGGCAGGCCUAACACAUGCAAGUCGAGCGCGCGGCGGACGUGUGGGUUAGGUAUGUGCAUCUGCCUGAGGGAGGGGGAUCACUACUGGAAACUGUUGCUGAUACCGCAUACAAUCAGAUGUGCCGAGAUGGGAUUAGCUAGUGGGUGGGGUAAUGGCUCACCUAGGCGACGAACCGUAGCUGGUCUGAGAGGAUGACCAGCCACACUGGAACUGAGACACGGUCCAGACUCCUACGGGAGGCAGCAGUGGGGAAUAUUGCACAAUGGGCGAAAGCCUGAUGCAGCCAUGCCGCGUGUGUGAAGAAGGCCUUCGGAUUGUAAAGCACUUUCAGCGAGGAGGCGUUACUCGCAGAAGAAGCACCGGCUAACUCCGUGCCAGCAGCCGCGGUAAUUC